rnacentral:rRNA from 1 species
CAAAAACAUAGCCAUUAGAAGUUAUUAAUGGUGAAUUCUGCUCAAUGAAUUUUAAAUAGCCGCAGUACACUGACUGUGCAAAGGUAGCAUAAUCAGUUGGCUUAUAAUUGAAGUCUUGUAUGAAUGAAUAAAUGAGGAAUAACUGUAUCUUAAAUAUAAAGUGAAAUUACUAAGUAAGUGCAAAUUCUUAUAGUUACAUAAUAGACGAGAAGACCCUAGAAAUUUUUAAUAUAUUCUGCUAAUUUUUUUGUUGGGGCMACAGUGUAACAUAUAAUUUACAUUAAUGGACAAGAAAUUUAUUGAAAGACCAAAUUACUCUAGGGAUAACAGCGUAAUAUAUUAUAUGUUUGCGACCUCGAUGUUGGACUAGGAAACGAAGGCUUAGAAGGUUAGUUGUAASGCUCUGUUCGAGCG